GACGAACGCUGGCGGCGUGCCUAAUACAUGCAAGUCGAGCGGACCUCUUCGGAGGUCAGCGGCGGACGGGUGAGUAACACGUGGGCAACCUGCCUGUAAGACUGGGAUAACACCGGGAAACCGGUGCUAAUACCGGAUAAUCCUUUUCCUCACAUGAGGGGAAGCUGAAAGACGGUUUCGGCUGUCACUUACAGAUGGGCCCGCGGCGCAUUAGCUAGUUGGUGGGGUAACGGCCCACCAAGGCGACGAUGCGUAGCCGACCUGAGAGGGUGAUCGGCCACACUGGGACUGAGACACGGCCCAGACUCCUACGGGAGGCAGCAGUAGGGAAUCUUCCGCAAUGGACGAAAGUCUGACGGAGCAACGCCGCGUGAGCGAAGAAGGCCUUCGGGUCGUAAAGCUCUGUUGUCAGGGAAGAACACGUACCGGAGUAACUGCCGGUACCCUGACGGUACCUGACCAGAAAGCCACGGCUAACUACGUGCCAGCCGCCGCGGUAAAAC
rnacentral:rRNA from 1 species